rnacentral:rRNA from 1 species
GACAGAGGGUGCGAACGUUGUUCGGAAUUACUGGGCGUAAAGCGCGUGUAGGCGGCUUGGCAAGUCGGGUGUGAAAGCCCUGGGCUCAACCUAGGAAGUGCACUCGAAACUGCCGAGCUGGAGUUCUGGAGAGGAAGGCGGAAUUCUCGGUGUAGAGGUGAAAUUCGUAGAUAUCGAGAGGAACACCGGUGGCGAAGGCGGGUCUCUGGGCCGAUACUGACGCUGAGGAGCGAAAGCGUGGGGAGCGAACAGG